UACGGAGGGUCCAAGCGUUAUCCGGAAUCAUUGGGUCUAAAGGGUCCGUAGGCGGGUUUAUAAGUCAGUGGUGAAAGCCCAUCGCUCAACGAUGGAACGGCCAUUGAUACUGUAGAUCUUGAAUUAUUAGGAAGUAACUAGAAUAUGUAGUGUAGCGGUGAAAUGCUUAGAGAUUACAUGGAAUACCGAUUGCGAAGGCAGGUUACUACUAAUGGAUUGACGCUGAUGGACGAAAGCGUGGGUAGCGAACAGG
rnacentral:rRNA from 1 species